rnacentral:misc_RNA from 1 species
GACGGGGGAGGCCAGUGUUAUUCUUCGUAAUUGGGCGUCAAGGGUAUGUAGACGGUCUAUAUCAUUAUUCUUAAGAAGGCCAUGGUUUAACUGUGGGAGUUCGAAUGAGACGUAUAGACUAGAGUUAUCUAGGAGAAAGUGGAAUUCUUGGUGGAGAAAUGCAAGACAGAGACCCCAAGGGAAUCCCCAAAGGCGAAGGCAACUUUCUAGAUUCAACUGACGUUUAGGUGCUAAGGUGUGGGGAGCGAAUCGG